GAUGAACGCUAGCGGCAGGCUUAACACAUGCAAGUCGAGGGGUAGAAGGAGCUUGCUCCUUUGAGACCGGCGCACGGGUGCGUAACGCGUAUGCAAUCUACCUUUUGCAGAGGGAUAGCCCAGAGAAAUUUGGAUUAAUACCUCAUAGUAUGUGAGGAUGGCAUCAUUUUCACAUUAAAGUCACAACGGCAAAGAUGAGCAUGCGUCCCAUUAGCUAGUUGGUAAGGUAACGGCUUACCAAGGCUACGAUGGGUAGGGUCCUGAGAGGGAGACUCCCCCACACUGGUACUGAGACACGGACCAGACUCCUACGGGAGGCAGCAGUGAGGAAUAUGGACAAUGGGCGCAAGCCUGAUCCAGCCAUGCCGCGUGCAGGAUGACGUCC
rnacentral:rRNA from 1 species